rnacentral:lncRNA from 1 species
AUCAAUCCAUUCGUUUACACUCUCUUAUAUGCCAUCACUUGCUAAAAAAUCAAAAUUCUCCAUUUCACUUUUACCUCUUAACAAACUUAAGAGGAGAAUGAUGCAAUAAAUAACCGAAUUUGUUGAGUAUGCUUUUAAUAGUAAGACCUGGCUGAUGAUGUAAGGCAUUGUUUCGCUUCCCCAAACACUGGAGAGAUAAGGAGUUAAUCUGUAGUCAAC